GACGAACGCUGGCGGCGCGCCUAACACAUGCAAGUCGAACGAGAGAGAGGAAGCUUGCUUCCUUAAUCGAGUGGCGAACGGGUGAGUAACGCGUGAGGAACCUGCCUCAAAGAGGGGGACAACAGUUGGAAACGACUGCUAAUACCGCAUAAGCCCACAGCUCGGCAUCGAGCAGAGGGAAAAGGAGUGAUUCGCUUUGAGAUGGCCUCGCGUCCGAUUAGCUAGUUGGUGAGGUAACGGCUCACCAAGUCGACGAUCGGUAGCCGGACUGAGAGGUUGAACGGCCACAUUGGGACUGAGACACGGCCCAG
rnacentral:rRNA from 1 species